AAUAAAGUGCCUGAUAAAAGGGUUAAACUGUAAAUUUAAAUAUAAUUGAAAAUUCUUUAUUA
rnacentral:tRNA from 1 species